rnacentral:rRNA from 1 species
UACGUAGGCAGCAAGCGUUGUUCGGAAUUACUGGGCGUAAAGAGUGUGUAGGCGGUGCCCUAAGUCUGUUGUGAAAUCUCCCGGCUUAACUGGGAGGGUGCGGUGGAAACUGGGGUGCUUGAGUGUGGGAGAGGUAAGCGGAAUUCCUGGUGUAGCGGUGAAAUGCGUAGAUAUCAGGAGGAACACCGGUGGUGUAGACGGCUUACUGGACCACGACUGACACUGAGGCACGAAAGCGUGGGUAGCAAACAGG